rnacentral:rRNA from 1 species
GAUUAAGUUAUUAAGGGCGCACGGUGGAUGCCUUGGCACUAGAAGCCGAUGAAGGACGUUACUAACGACGAUAUGCUUUGGGGAGCUGUAAGUAAGCUUUGAUCCAGAGAUUUCCGAAUGGGGAAACCCAGCAUGAGUUAUGUCAUGUUAUCGAUAUGUGAAUACAUAGCAUAUCAGAAGGCACACCCGGAGAACUGAAACAUCUUAGUACCCGGAGGAAGAGAAAGAAAAUUCGAUUCCCUUAGUAGCGGCGAGCGAAACGGGAAGAGCCCAAACCAACAAGCUUGCUUGUUGGGGUUGUAGGACACUCUAUACGGAGUUACAAAGGACGACAUUAGACGAAUCAUCUGGAAAGAUGAAUCAAAGAAGGUAAUAAUCCUGUAGUCGAAAAUGUUGUCUCUCUUGAGUGGAUCCUGAGUACGACGGAGCACGUGAAAUUCCGUCGGAAUCUGGGAGGACCAUCUCCUAAGGCUAAAUACUCUCUAGUGACCGAUAGUGAACCAGUACCGUGAGGGAAAGGUGAAAAGCACCCCGGAAGGGGAGUGAAAUAGAACCUGAAACCGUGUGCUUACAAGUAGUCAGAGCCCGUUAAUGGGUGAUGGCGUGCCUUUUGUAGAAUGAACCGGCGAGUUACGAUUUGAUGCAAGGUUAAGCAGUAAAUGUGGAGCCGUAGCGAAAGCGAGUCUGAAUAGGGCGUUUAGUAUUUGGUCGUAGACCCGAAACCAGGUGAUCUACCCUUGGUCAGGUUGAAGUUCAGGUAACACUGAAUGGAGGACCGAACCGACUUACGUUGAAAAGUGAGCGGAUGAACUGAGGGUAGCGGAGAAAUUCCAAUCGAACCUGGAGAUAGCUGGUUCUCUCCGAAAUAGCUUUAGGGCUAGCCUCAAGUGAUGAUUAUUGGAGGUAGAGCACUGUUUGGACGAGGGGCCCCUCUCGGGUUACCGAAUUCAGACAAACUCCGAAUGCCAAUUAAUUUAACUUGGGAGUCAGAACAUGGGUGAUAAGGUCCGUGUUCGAAAGGGAAACAGCCCAGACCACCAGCUAAGGUCCCAAAAUAUAUGUUAAGUGGAAAAGGAUGUGGCGUUGCCCAGACAACUAGGAUGUUGGCUUAGAAGCAGCCAUCAUUUAAAGAGUGCGUAAUAGCUCACUAGUCGAGUGACACUGCGCCGAAAAUGUACCGGGGCUAAACAUAUUACCGAAGCUGUGGAUUGUCCUUUGGACAAUGGUAGGAGAGCGUUCUAAGGGCGUUGAAGCAUGAUCGUAAGGACAUGUGGAGCGCUUAGAAGUGAGAAUGCCGGUGUGAGUAGCGAAAGACGGGUGAGAAUCCCGUCCACCGAUUGACUAAGGUUUCCAGAGGAAGGCUCGUCCGCUCUGGGUUAGUCGGGUCCUAAGCUGAGGCCGACAGGCGUAGGCGAUGGAUAACAGGUUGAUAUUCCUGUACCACCUAUAAUCGUUUUAAUCGAUGGGGGGACGCAGUAGGAUAGGCGAAGCGUGCGAUUGGAUUGCACGUCUAAGCAGUAAGGCUGAGUAUUAGGCAAAUCCGGUACUCAUUAAGGCUGAGCUGUGAUGGGGAGAAGACAUUGUGUCUUCGAGUCGUUGAUUUCACACUGCCGAGAAAAGCCUCUAGAUAGAAAAUAGGUGCCCGUACCGCAAACCGACACAGGUAGUCAAGAUGAGAAUUCUAAGGUGAGCGAGCGAACUCUCGUUAAGGAACUCGGCAAAAUGACCCCGUAACUUCGGGAGAAGGGGUGCUCUUUAGGGUUAACGCCCAGAAGAGCCGCAGUGAAUAGGCCCAAGCGACUGUUUAUCAAAAACACAGGUCUCUGCUAAACCGUAAGGUGAUGUAUAGGGGCUGACGCCUGCCCGGUGCUGGAAGGUUAAGAGGAGUGGUUAGCUUCUGCGAAGCUACGAAUCGAAGCCCCAGUAAACGGCGGCCGUAACUAUAACGGUCCUAAGGUAGCGAAAUUCCUUGUCGGGUAAGUUCCGACCCGCACGAAAGGCGUAACGAUUUGGGCACUGUCUCAACGAGAGACUCGGUGAAAUCAUAGUACCUGUGAAGAUGCAGGUUACUCGCGACAGGACGGAAAGACCCCGUGGAGCUUUACUGUAGCCUGAUAUUGAAAUUCGGCACAGCUUGUACAGGAUAGGUAGGAGCCUUUGAAACGUGAGCGCUAGCUUACGUGGAGGCGCUGGUGGGAUACUACCCUAGCUGUGUUGGCUUUCUAACCCGCACCACUUAUCGUGGUGGGAGACAGUGUCAGGCGGGCAGUUUGACUGGGGCGGUCGCCUCCUAAAAGGUAACGGAGGCGCUCAAAGGUUCCCUCAGAAUGGUUGGAAAUCAUUCAUAGAGUGUAAAGGCAUAAGGGAGCUUGACUGCGAGACCUACAAGUCGAGCAGGGUCGAAAGACGGACUUAGUGAUCCGGUGGUUCCGCAUGGAAGGGCCAUCGCUCAACGGAUAAAAGCUACCCCGGGGAUAACAGGCUUAUCUCCCCCAAGAGUUCACAUCGACGGGGAGGUUUGGCACCUCGAUGUCGGCUCAUCGCAUCCUGGGGCUGUAGUCGGUCCCAAGGGUUGGGCUGUUCGCCCAUUAAAGCGGUACGCGAGCUGGGUUCAGAACGUCGUGAGACAGUUCGGUCCCUAUCCGUCGUGGGCGUAGGAAAUUUGAGAGGAGCUGUCCUUAGUACGAGAGGACCGGGAUGGACAUACCUCUGGUGUACCAGUUGUCGUGCCAACGGCAUAGCUGGGUAGCUAUGUGUGGACGGGAUAAGUGCUGAAAGCAUCUAAGCAUGAAGCCCCCCUCAAGAUGAGAUUUCCCAACUUCGGUUAUAAGAUC